UACGGGGGGGGUAAGCGUUGUUCGGAAUUACUGGGCGUAAAGGGCUCGCAGGCGGCCAACUAAGUCAUACGUGAAAUCCCUCAGCUUAACUGGGGAACUGCGUGUGAUACUGGAUGGCUUGGAUUUGGGAGAGGGAUGCGGAAUUCCAGGUGUAGCGGUGAAAUGCGUAGAUAUCGGGAGGAACACCAGUGGCGAAGGCGGCUUUCUGGGCCUUACCUGACGCUGAGACGCGAAAGCGUGGGGAGCGAACCGG
rnacentral:rRNA from 1 species